UACGAGGGGGGCAAAUGUUGUUCGGAAUCACUGGGCGUAAAGGGAGCGUAGGCGGGUGUUUAAGUUAGGUGUUUAAUCCCGGGGCCCAACCCCGGUCGUGCACCUAAAACUGGGCAUCUUGAAUAGUGGAGAGGUCAGUGGAAUUGGGGGUGUAGCGGUGGAAUGCGUAGAGAUCCCCAAGAACACCAGUUGCGAAGGCGGCUGACUGGACACAUAUUGACGCUGAGGCUCGAAAGCAUGGGGAGCAAACAGG
rnacentral:rRNA from 1 species